GGAAUUUUUACGAGGGGGUUUUAUGGGCGGGGGGGGGCUAUCAUGCAGUCGAACGAACUCUGGUAUUGAUUGGUGCUUGCAUCAUGAUUUACAUUUGAGUGAGUGGCGAACUGGUGAGUAACACGUGGGAAACCUGCCCAGAAGCGGGGGAUAACACCUGGAAACAGAUGCUAAUACCGCAUAACAACUUGGACCGCAUGGUCCGAGCUUGAAAGAUGGCUUCGGCUAUCACUUUUGGAUGGUCCCGCGGCGUAUUAGCUAGAUGGUGGGGUAACGGCUCACCAUGGCAAUGAUACGUAGCCGACCUGAGAGGGUAAUCGGCCACAUUGGGACUGAGACACGGCCCAAACUCCUACGGGAGGCAGCAGUAGGGAAUCUUCCACAAUGGACGAAAGUCUGAUGGAGCAACGCCGCGUGAGUGAAGAAGGGUUUCGGCUCGUAAAACUCUGUUGUUAAAGAAGAACAUAUCUGAGAGUAACUGUUCAGGUAUUGACGGUAUUUAACCAGAAAGCCACGGCUAACUACGUGCCAGCAGCCGCGGUAAUACGUAGGUGGCAAGCGUUGUCCGGAUUUAUUGGGCGUAAAGCGAGCGCAGGCGGUUUUUUAAGUCUGAUGUGAAAGCCUUCGGCUCAACCGAAGAAGUGCAUCGGAAACUGGGAAACUUGAGUGCAGAAGAGGACAGUGGAACUCCAUGUGUAGCGGUGAAAUGCGUAGAUAUAUGGAAGAACACCAGUGGCGAAGGCGGCUGUCUGGUCUGUAACUGACGCUGAGGCUCGAAAGUAUGGGUAGCAAACAGGAUUAGAUACCCUGGUAGUCCAUACCGUAAACGAUGAAUGCUAAGUGUUGGAGGGUUUCCGCCCUUCAGUGCUGCAGCUAACGCAUUAAGCAUUCCGCCUGGGGAGUACGGCCGCAAGGCUGAAACUCAAAGGAAUUGACGGGGGCCCGCACAAGCGGUGGAGCAUGUGGUUUAAUUCGAAGCUACGCGAAGAACCUUA
rnacentral:rRNA from 2 species